rnacentral:ncRNA from 2 species
AUGUGGGGGCACCGCUUCGGCGGUGCCCCCACAUGUAUGCUCAUCUCGCUGUCACCGCAGAGGAAUCCGGUGCGAAUCCGGAACUGUCCCGCAACGGUGUGCUUCGGCGUACUUUGUCGCGCCAGGGCAAGUCCGGCCGUCUGCCGACAGCGCACCCGGAUC